AUUGAACGCUGGCGGCAUGCUUUACACAUGCAAGUCGAACGGUAACAGGGUGCUUGCACCGCUGACGAGUGGCGAACGGGUGAGUAAUGCGUCGGAACGUGCCGAGUAGUGGGGAUAACGCAGCGAAAGUUGUGCUAAUACCGCAUACGUACUGAGGUAGAAAGUGGGGGACCUUCGGGCCUCACGCUAUUCGAGCGGCCGACGUCUGAUUAGCUAGUAGGUGAGGUAAAGGCUCACCUAGGCGACGAUCAGUAGCGGGUCUGAGAGGAGGAUCCGCCACACUGGGACUGAGACACGGCCCAGACUCCUACGGGAGGCAGCAGUGGGGAAUUUUGGACAAUGGGCGAAAGCCUGAUCCAGCCAUGCCGCGUGUCUGAAGAAGGCCUUCGGGUUGUAAAGGACUUUUGUCGGGGAGGAAAUCCCCAGCGUUAAUACCGCUGGGGGAUGACAGUACCUGAAGAAUAAGCACCGGCUAACUACGUGCCAGCAGCCGCAGUAAAAC
rnacentral:rRNA from 1 species